rnacentral:lncRNA from 1 species
AUAUAUAAUUCCUAUUAUGCCCUUAAUAAAAAUUAGAUUUUUAAUGCCUCUUUAAUGCUUCUUUAAUGCUGAAGGGACUUUUUGGGAAAAAGUAAAAAUGGAGUGAUUUCCGCCUCAUGGGAAAGUAACUUUCCCAUGUUUCUCAUGGGAAAGACUUUCCCAUGAAAUGUGGGAAUCACAUUCCCAUGGGAAUACAACUUUCCCAUCUCUCUCCUUUGAAAACUCCAACCAAACAAGAGGCAUUUCAUUACUUUCCCGUUGACCACACUUUCCCCCCUCCUUUUCCUGCGAACCAAACGAGCCCUAAGGACACAAGAAGUCAUCUUAUUAAUCUGUGGGGGAUUCACAAAGCUGACUGCAUAUGCAUGGGUCAACCAAGCCAUGCUCUUUGCGCCCCCCCCC